rnacentral:rRNA from 1 species
UACGGAGGGGGCUAGCGUUGUUCGGAAUUACUGGGCGUAAAGCGCACGUAGGCGGCUUUGCAAGUCAGAGGUGAAAGCCCGGGGCUCAACCCCGGAAUUGCCUUUGAGACUGCAUCGCUAGAAUUGUGGAGAGGUAAGUGGAAUUCCGAGUGUAGAGGUGAAAUUCGUAGAUAUUCGGAAGAACACCAGUGGCGAAGGCGACCUACUGGACACAUAUUGACGCUGAGGUGCGAAAGCGUGGGGAGCAAACAGG